AGCGAACGCUGGCGGCAGGCUUAACACAUGCAAGUCGAGCGGGCACUUUCGGGUGUCAGCGGCGGACGGGUGAGUAACGCGUGGGAACGUGCCCUCUGGUUCGGAAUAACUCAGGGAAACUUGAGCUAAUACCGGAUACGCCCUUUUGGGGAAAGGCUUGCUGCCGGAGGAUCGGCCCGCGUCUGAUUAGCUAGUUGGUGAGGUAACGGCUCACCAAGGCGACGAUCAGUAGCUGGUCUGAGAGGUUGAUCAGCCACACUGGGACUGAGACACGGCCCAGACUCCUACGGGAGGCAGCAGUGGGGAAUAUUGGACAAUGGGCGCAAGCCUGAUCCAGCCAUGCCGCGUGAGUGAUGAAGGCCUUAGGGUUGUAAAGCUCUUUUAUCCGGGACGAUAAUGACGGUACCGGAGGAAUAAGCCCCGGCUAACUUCGUG
rnacentral:rRNA from 1 species